rnacentral:rRNA from 1 species
GAUGAACGCUGGCGGCGUGCCUAAUACAUGCAAGUCGAGCGAACAGACGAGGAGCUUGCUCCUCUGAUGUUAGCGGCGGACGGGUGAGUAACACGUGGAUAACCUACCUAUAAGACUGGGAUAACUUCGGGAAACCGGAGCUAAUACCGGAUAAUAUGUUGAACCGCAUGGUUCGAUAGUGAAAGACGGUCUUGCUGUCACUUAUAGAUGGACCUGCGCCGCAUUAGCUAGUUGGUAAGGUAACGGCUUACCAAGGCAACGAUACGUAGCCGACCUGAGAGGGUGAUGGGCACCACUGAACCUAGACCACGUUCCGACCCCCAAGGGGAGCAAGAGGAGGGGAUCUUUCGGCAUGGGCGAAAGGCCUAACGGAGAAAGGCGGGGGAGGUAAUGAGGGUCUCCGAACGGUAAACCCUGGUAAUUGGGAAAGACAAAAGUUGAAGUAACUAGUCACGGCUUUGAGGUACCUUAACAAGAAGGCACGGCUAACUUCGGU